rnacentral:tRNA from 1 species
GCUUGUCUAGCUUAGUUGGUAGAGCGCAAUGCUUUUAACCUUGUGGUGUUGGUUCAAGCCCACAGUUUGCG